rfam:Schistosoma rodhaini strain Burundi genome assembly, scaffold: SROB_scaffold0006766
GCACUGCUGAGGAGUCCCAUAAUAGGACGAAUAUACCGUCCAGUGC